GUUAGAACAGCUCCAGCCCACCCAGUCAACCCAGCUCCUGAGCCUGGGUCUGAAGGGCCCUCAGAGGAGACAGGAAGAAAUGUCUCCAGGCCAUGACACGUGUCAGCAGAAUAAACUCCUCAGGUGAAGUAAGAUCUUCAAGAAAGCUAACUGAAUCUGCCUGGAGGUCUUCUUUGCUCAGAGCUCUUGGUGCUGCCAGUCUGUAACACAGCUUACAGCACGAGAAGGCAAAGCAAACACAGGAAAAAAGACUGGAGGAAAACCAGGCUGACAUGUCUGAAUUGUGUGGUCAGGGGCGUUUCCCAGACAUGGGACCCCCCCACAACCCCAUCCCACCACAGCCAGUUUGCUCCACUGCCAGAAGGGAAGAGCAGAGGCUGUCCCAGACAGAUUUUCCUGCUGUGCCUCACCUUAGCUUUCUGUAGGACUGUUCCCUUCCCCGUGACCAUAACAGAUAAGGGCCGGUUUUUUAAAGCCGUUGCUGAGUUCACCGGUGAGU